GGAAAUAAACAUCUUGCGUUAAUUUUCUAAUGUCAACAACAUGAUCUUGCAAAUAGGUUUGAGCCCGUGGCUCUUUGGAAGGCCCUCAUGCUUCAAUACUGAGGGCUCGAGCUCGAGUCCGAGCCCGGAUUACCUAUCAUAAAGGGGGAAAAAGUGACAUAAUCAUGCAAUUUUAUUUUUCUGCACAUAUUUUCUUGUUUUGCAUCUUCUAAUUAUGAUAUCAUGCGUUCAAGUUGGCAUUUCACAUGCUCAAUGGCUUUGGUAUAAAAACUGCAAUCCCUCUAGGAUGAGUUAUCAUGUUAUUAUUCGAGUGCCAACUUUUGACACCUGUAGACUCGGCAUGCUUAGAAAAUCCAUCUUGAAAUGAAUUUUAUUCAUGAUAAUAACAAUACUAUAUAAAUUGCCAUUGAUGUUCUCAUUACUGUUCUUAGUUGAAGACCUUCAGUUCAGUGUUUGCAUAUGCUCGCAGACAUGUAGGAUCCUCUCUCUCUCUCUCUCUCUGUCUUGACUUAAAGUUGGGCCAUUUCUCAGGUUGUUUUUUCUGUUUAUGACAUUAUCUAGAUCUGAUCGAUCUUCAUUUGAAAAUGGAAACAAUGUUGUAUUAAAUUCUGUAUGCAAAUACUUUAUACCAGAAAUCAUGUUGACAAUUUGCCAACCAGAAAUAUUGAAAUUUUGAAUUAUCCAAAAAUUGUCAUGUAGAGUUUUGAAGGGAACUCCUUCUGCCAUUAGUUUCUUGCUAAAGUAUUAUCCCAUUGCAUCCUGCUGGUGUUCUUGAUUCUUAGAGUGUCAGGCUAAAUCCUAUUUCAAUUGGCUUUGUACCCUAAGUGUCUAUCUAGUUUGAUUGUAGCUUACAUCUGCCAAGGGUCAAAUACAUAAAACCCAGACAUAUAUAAUUGAAUUGGUUAGGGGUGAGCAGAUUUGCGACUCUAUUGACCUAUUUUGCAGAAAGUUGUUGUCUGGUGAGCGGUGGAAGUGACCGAGGUUGGAUAACCUUGAAUUCCAACAGAUUUCUAGUGAGGAUGUUGCUGUGCUUGAGAAGCCUAUCUCGGAAGUGAAAGCUGCUUUAUGCUCUAUGUGUGGGGAUAAGGCCCUGGGUCCCAAUGGUUUCCCUAUUCUCUUCUAUCAGAAGUUUUGGCAUAUAGUUAAAAAGGAUGUUAUGGAUUUUGUAUUGGAAAUUUCUGAGUGGGGCUGGCUUUCAGGUGAGCUUGGGGCUUCUUUUAUUGCCCUUAUUCCCAAGGUGGAGGGGGCCAAUCAGUUAAAAGAUUUCAGACAUAUUGGUCUCAUAGGAGGCCCUAAUAAGAUUUUGGCCUAGUUUUUUUCCUUGAGAUUUAGGGAUGUCCUCUCUAAAGUCAUUUCAAAAAAUGAAGGUGCUUUUGUGGCGGGUAGACAGAUUUUGGAUGUUGCUCUUAUUGCCCACGAAUGCAUUGACUCCAAGCACAUGAAGUAGAAAGGUGUGUUAGUCUGCAGGUUGGAUAUUGAGAAGGCUUAUGAUCAUGUGGACUCGGGGUUCUUAGACUAUACGUUUCAUAGAUUGGGUUGUGGCCGCAAGUGCAGGGAGCGGAUCGGAUCUUGCAUGCAAUUUGCAUCCUUCUCUAUCUUAAUUAAUGGGUUGCCAAAAGGGUAUUUCGAAUCGUCAAGAGGUCUGAGGCAGGGGGACCCUUUUUCUCCUUAUUUGUUUGUUGUCAUUGGGGAGGCCCUGAGUAUGAUGCUGCAUAAAGGGGAAGAGAAUGGUUUGCUCAGAGUUUUAGGGUUCAAGGCUUUUAAUGUUGGGGGUCAAAUCAACCAUCUUCAGUAUGCGGAUGAUACAUUGCUCUUUUGUGAUGUGGAGAUGGUUUCAGUGGACAACCUUCGGAAAAUAAUUGCGUGUUUUGAAGUGGUUUCGGGGUUGAAGGUUAAUGUGGCUAAUUCUGAAAUGUUGGGGGUGCACGUGGGGUGAGAAUAUCUUAGCCGUUUUGUGUGUAUCUUCAGGUGCAAGUCGGGAUCCUUUCCUUUGACGUACCUUGGGUUGCCUCUAUGUAUUGGGAAGCUGGCCAACCACCUUUGGGAUAAGGUGAUUGAGAGGAUCGAAAGGAAAUUGGCUACUUGGAAAGGUUGGUUUCUCUACUUGGGAGGUCAUUUGACUCUUAUCAAGGUGGCCUUAUCCAAUAUGCCCGUGUAUUUUAUAUUUUUCUCUCUUUUCAAUUGCCCUAAAUCGGUGUUGGAUAGACUAAAAAAGCUGAUGUGAACAUGGCUCGAUGCGUGUGGGGCUUACUUCCUCUAUUUUCUCUGGCUUUUGAUACAGUUGGGAUGUGGUGUUGGCUCAGAUUUGAAGAUGCAUUUGAUUUGUAGUUACCACUAACACAUGAAGCUUAAAAUCUACAACCAACUAGAAAUUGUAUAAUUGCUUAAAGGUUGGGGGAUAAUAAGAUUUCCCAAUUCAAGUGACUCAUGUAGUUAAUCUGCGAUUGUAGAUUUGGAGUAAGGGUCUUGGUGACAAAAAAUGAAGGGGUUAAGCACCAUUUUCAGCUUGCACCGCAUGCGCUCUUUACUUUAUGGGAUUUAAUGAUUUUUGAGGGAUUUAAUGGAAUUUCAGAAUUACCAUGUCUAAUCAUGCUUCACAAAGUUUAUGACUUUGGGUAGGACAAAAAGAAAAUAAAUGGCACCUAACCUCACUUUGCAGGUUUAAGACCCCUAGUAGGCAAAAAGGAAAUAAGCAGUACUUACCGUUCCCUCACAGGGUUGAAGACCUUGGGUAGGUAGAUAAAGUAAAAGAGAGAAUGUAGAUAGGAAAGAGGAUUGCAGAAAUAAAAUAAAAGUGAGUGUGUGUUGCUAAUGUGCUUGAAAUGUGUAGGAUGGAAUGUAGAUUGAAUUGAGACGUGAGAGGGAAAAUGGGAGACCAAACAUCCUUUUUAACAAAGGGAUGGUCGCAUGUCUCCGAUUCCAACCCUACUCUCAACUUCAGUGGCUUCUUUUGCUAAGACUAUUCUUUUCUUUCUUCUUUUGAGUCAAGAAGGGUGGCGGCGCAGUCAGGCUUUUUUCGGAUUUUCCAGAGACUUGGGCAAGUUGACACUUGGGAGUUAGCAACACCUGAAAUAGCCUUGCCACUCCUCUUUGUUGACCAACUGACGCAUGUUGCCUCUCUUUUCACUCUCAACGUCUCCCACUAAUCCCCUUGUUGCCUUCGGAAGGAUCGCUAUUGUAGUGCUUAAAUAGGUACUCAGCCGACUAUUCGAGGAUCAGUUGUAGGCUAUAGGGUACCCUUUCUGCCUGCGUUGGCUUUUCGGGUUAGGUAAUGAUGUCUCGAGCCAAAAGAGGUUCCUUCGUACAACCAGAUCUUCAGGGGCCUAUUGUUCAUUUUGUCCUUUUCUACAUAGCAGCUGCUGUGUACAGUGAAUUCUAGGGUUUUCGGGAGUCAGGAUGAGUGGCCACGAUUUAUUCUUCACCAGAUUUAUGUUGGUCGAUCGAAUCUGGUGGUUUUCUCCGAGAGGUAUUGGGGACCCUUUCGACUUGAUUCGUUUGGACUUCCUUGUCUCUGGAGUCUAGCAAAUGCGAUUUGAUCAAAGCUGUGCACAACUGAAGUUUCCGGAUAACCUGGUCAAUCGUUUGAUAUCUAAUCUCAUCGAGUUGCGGGUCCGCCAAUUCGAUCCAUUAGUCAUUUCUGGGUUGUGCCGAGGACCUUUUCUACUUGAUCCAUAUGGACUUUAAGGCCUCUUGGAUUGGCUGGAGACGGUGUUAUCAGAGUGGUGUAUGGUUUGGGUCUUUGAUGGGUCUAGGCCGUUUAGUCAAGGUGCGAUUGGUCGAGCCCCUGACUUGUCAAAAAUACAUCUUACCUAACUCGUAUGGUUGUUCAACGGAUAUCGAAUCUUCCAGGGAUGUUUUUAUCGAAGCCAAGUUGAAGUUGAGGAGUAGUUUGCUCUCGUUUUGGGUGGGGUGUCUAUAACUAAGAAGAGAUUUUUUUUGGAAAGGCACUAUUGAUGGUAAGAAGUUUCAUCUCCUUAGGCGGGAUGAGGUGUGUAAGCUACUCUCAAACUUUUGGGUGAUAUGAUUCAACUCUCCUUGGGAAGUAGAUUUGGUGUGAAAGAGAGUAGGCUUUAGAGGGAGUUGAUGGCUAGCAACUAUGUUGUGUAGGAGGGGGCUUGGGUUUGUGACGAACUCAUUAUAGAGCCUUUGGGGCUUGGAAAACACAGUUGAUCAUUUGGUCCGAAAGGGUAUUUCUUUCUCAAUUGGAAACAUGAAUCAUAUUCAAUUUUUGGUGGAUAUUUGGUACGGCGAUCGGGUGCUUCAAGGUCUCUUCCCGAGAGUCGCUCGCCUUCUCCCGACCAUUUUGUUUAUGUGGCAAAUUGCUUUUUAAUCAAUAGGGGGUCGGUAGUCUGGCAGAUUGUUUAUGUGAUAGAGUCGGUGAUGCUAAAGGAACAUGUUGGAUGGGGAGAUGGCUGAGUUCGUCAGGUAAUUGGAUUUCAUUAAGAACACCAAGCUUGCGGUUCAAGAAUCAGACUUGAUUUUAUGGUUGAGGCAAUGUUCAGGGAGAGUCUUUGUAAGGUCACUAUUUAACUUGAUAUUAGAGCUACCUAGUCUUUUUAGUUUGCCUCAUUUGUUUCAUCAUUGGUUUUAUGAUCCUUUAAAAAAAAUAAA